rnacentral:rRNA from 1 species
UACGUAGGGUGCGAGCGUUGCCCGGAUUUAUUGGGCGUAAAGGGCGCGUAGGCGGCCACGCACGUCCGUUGUGAAAUCGCCCGGCUCAACUGGGCGGGGUCAGCGGAUACGGUGUGGCUCGAGCAAGCUAGGGGGCAAUGGAAUUCCCGGUGUAGUGGUGGAAUGCGUAGAUAUCGGGAGGAACACCAGUGGCGAAGGCGGUUGCCUGGAGCUUUGCUGACGCUGAGGCGCGAAAGCCAGGGGAGCGAACGGG